rnacentral:rRNA from 1 species
AUUGAACGCUGGCGGCAUGCCUUACACAUGCAAGUCGAACGGCAGCACGGGAGCAAUCCUGGUGGCGAGUGGCGAACGGGUGAGUAAUGUAUCGGAACGUACCUUUCAGUGGGGGAUAACGUAGCGAAAGUUACGCUAAUACCGCAUAUUCUGUGAGCAGGAAAGCAGGGGAUCGCAAGACCUUGCGCUGAUUGAGCGGCCGAUAUCAGAUUAGCUAGUUGGUGAGGUAAAGGCUCACCAAGGCGACGAUCUGUAGCGGGUCUGAGAGGAUGAUCCGCCACACUGGAACUGAGACACGGUCCAGACUCCUACGGGAGGCAGCAGUGGGGAAUUUUGGACAAUGGGGGCAACCCUGAUCCAGCCAUGCCGCGUGAGUGAAGAAGGCCUUCGGGUUGUAAAGCUCUUUCAGCCGGGAAGAAAACGCAUGGGUUAAUACCCUGUGUGGAUGACGGUACCGGAAUAAGAAGCACCGGCUAACUACGUGCCAGCAGCCGCGGUAAUACGUAGGGUGCGAGCGUUAAUCGGAAUUACUGGGCGUAAAGCGUGCGCAGGCGGUUUGUUAAGAUAGGCGUGAAAUCCCCGGGCUCAACCUGGGAACUGCGUUUAUGACUGGCAGGCUAGAGUAUGGCAGAGGGGGGUGGAAUUCCACGUGUAGCAGUGAAAUGCGUAGAGAUGUGGAGGAACACCGAUGGCGAAGGCAGCCCCCUGGGCCAAUACUGACGCUCAUGCACGAAAGCGUGGGUAGCAAACAGGAUUAGAUACCCUGGUAGUCCACGCCCUAAACGAUGUCAACUAGGUGUUGGGUGGGUAAAACCAUUUAGUACCGGAGCUAACGCGUGAAGUUGACCGCCUGGGGAGUACGGCCGCAAGGUUAAAACUCAAAGGAAUUGACGGGGACCCGCACAAGCGGUGGAUGAUGUGGAUUAAUUCGAUGCAACGCGAAAAACCUUACCUACCCUUGACAUGUCCAGGAGCUCUUAGAGAUUUGAGUGUGCCCGAAAGGGAACUGGAACACAGGUGCUGCAUGGCUGUCGUCAGCUCGUGUCGUGAGAUGUUGGGUUAAGUCCCGCAACGAGCGCAACCCUUGUCGUUAAUUGCCAUCAUUUAGUUGGGCACUUUAACGAGACUGCCGGUGACAAACCGGAGGAAGGUGGGGAUGACGUCAAGUCCUCAUGGCCCUUAUGGGUAGGGCUUCACACGUCAUACAAUGGUCGGUACAAAGGGUUGCCAACCCGCGAGGGGGAGCUAAUCCCAGAAAGCCGAUCGUCGACCUGCAGGCAUGCAAGCUUGGCACUGCCGUCGUGCCGGCCCC